GAUAAUAUAGGAUGAAAGAUAAUCUCAGUAAAAUGGUGGUUAUUUACUGAGACUUUUUCAGUAGGCUUUUUGGAGGAUCCCGAGAAGCUACAUCCACCGGCUUGGUUUCAUUUUCCUACAUUUGUGCACUUUCACAGACAUAAAACAGUUAACAAAUCACCGUUAUUACACAUUUGAACCUAAGAAACACAUAGACAAAAUAAAACAAUUCACAUUAAGUUCACUCCUCGCGUUCCCGCUAAAAAGUCCUAUGACAGAAAUGAAAAUACCCGCUAUAGAUAAUUUAUUACUAAAGAAUAUUUAGUCUUUACCCGCUAAGAUUGAAUUCUAAAUAAACGGCUACAUUUCUGCGCCAAGAAAUAUGAACCAAAUUACUAAAAAAAAGCCGUUUCCACCACUGCGAAGACCUAAAUGCAUAACGGACCCGAAUGAAAAAGCAAAAAAAUGUGUUUCAGAAAAACAAUAUGUGAUUGUAACUUUGAAAAAUAAUAACAAACUUGUUGUUUCUUCUGAUGGCUACCACGGGUUAAUAAUAGCGGGAAGCGUGUAUAAGUGUGUAUUUUGUAACAGAGAAAUGGACUUGGAUCAUGCCUAUAAAGAAUAUCACAAAAAAACCGCCGGCCAUUUAAAAGCUAUGACUUCUAAUCCAAAUAUGGAGGAUUAUGGAGAAAAUUUGAUACGAAACCUCCGUGGCAAUGGUUAUUACUGCACAAUAUGUAACAUCAUCUUGCCAAAUCCAGUUGUAGAUCAACAUUUAAAAUCGGAUACUCAUACAUCUGAAUUAGGGAGAGCUGUUGCCAGUGUGAAUGCUUAUAAAGUGGUUUAAGACGUGCAAUAUCGAUUUAAUGGUUCUGUGAUCAAUAUGAACUCAUCUAAAUUACUAUACAUCUACUGGCGUUGGUCUAAGGGCCAAUAUUAUCAAGAUCAAGAUCUUACCUGCUAAUAAAUUUUAACAACUGUA